AGUGAACGCUGGCGGUAGGCCUAACACAUGCAAGUCGAACGGCAGCACAGUAAGAGCUUGCUCUUACGGGUGGCGAGUGGCGGACGGGUGAGGAAUACAUCGGAAUCUACUUUUUCGUGGGGGAUAACGUAGGGAAACUUACGCUAAUACCGCAUACGACCUACGGGUGAAAGCAGGGGAUCUUCGGACCUUGCGCGAUUGAAUGAGCCGAUGUCGGAUUAGCUAGUUGGCGGGGUAAAGGCCCACCAAGGCGACGAUCCGUAGCUGGUCUGAGAGGAUGGUCAGCCACACUGGAACUGAGACACGGUCCAGACUCCUACGGGAGGCAGCAGUGGGGAAUAUUGGACAAUGGGCGCAAGCCUGAUCCAGCCAUACCGCGUGGGUGACGAAGGCCUUCGGGUUGUAAAGCCCUUUUGUUGGGAAAGAAAAGCAGCAGGUUAAUACCCCGCUGUUCUGACGGUACCCAAAGAAUAAGCACCGGCUAACUUCGUG
rnacentral:rRNA from 1 species